AGCCUUAACAACCCAUCAAGACCAGGCCAUCGAAGAAACCCCCAGCUCUGGCAUGGCAUCCAUUUUAGUACUGUGGCGGAUGUUAUAAAGAAAUUAUUCAAUGCAGAUGGCCUCAAGAAACUCAUUGUAAAGUGUUGCGGAACUAAAGGUGAUGGAAAAAUCAAAAAGGACGGACCGAUUCAGCAAACUACGAAGAAAAUGCGAGGCUUAAAGGUUUCGGAGACAGAGAAAGAGAGAGAAAGGGGUGAUGUGCUAUGUAUUUAUUGACUAACUCAAUCUUGUUGAGGAAGUUUCAACCAGAGAGAGAGAGGCAGAUUCUUCUUGUCCACACUGCCGGGCUUUACUUUUUUGCGACCAAACUACCACUAGAACGCGUACAUACACCGCUAAAUACCGCUGUAGCUGAUAAUUAUUUUUAAAAUUAGGCAAAUAUAACACUAUGUACAGUGUCAUCAUUUAGAUUUAAAUGCGUGGUUGAUUAGUGAUGGAGAAUGUAUUUUUUAUUUUUUUAUUUUUUGAGUUCUUUUGAGACUGAUAUCUGAAAAAAAAUUAAUUUUUUUAAACGCAUUAUAUUAAUAUAAGAAUUUUAAAAAAAUUGUUUAGAAAUGGGAUUUAGUCUCCGUUGAUGUUUAAAUUGACUCUAAUAUAUUUCUUAUUAUCAAAUUAGAAAAUACAUAAUAGAAGGUAUAUGUUUGGUAAUACAUUUUUUAAAAGGUUUUUUUGUUUUAAAAAAUAUUAAAUUGAUAAUUUUUUAUGAUUUUGAUAUUCUUGUAUAAAAAAUAUUUUAAAAAAAUUAUUUAUUAUUUAUUAUUUUUUACAAAAAUCCCUUAAAAAAACACCUUAAUCACAAUGUCAGAUAAUGCUUAAGAUUACCGAUACAGUUGCAUCCACGGAUGUCAUAUUGACACUUCAAUUGUGGCCAUACUAAAUGUAUGUAUGAUGUGUUCCACAUAUUACAUUGUAUAAAUUAGGGGUGAGAAAAAAACUGAAAAAUCAAUUAAACUGAGAAAAUCAGAAAAAAAAUAAUUAAAAAAACUGAACCGAAAAAAAAAACUAAUUAAGGGUUUGUUUGGCAGUGUGGUUGCGGUUGCUUUUCAAAUAGCUUUUCGUGCCAAAAUGCAUGCCAAUGAUUUUUUUUAUUUUUUAAAAAUUAUUUUUAACAUCAGCACAUCAAAAUGAUUUGAAAACACUAAAAAUAUAUUAAUUUGAAGUUAAUAAAAAAAUAAAAAAAUUUUAAAUUUUGUCAAAAGCGCUUUUGAAACGUAGAAACAAACAGGCCCUAAACCUAUUAACCGAAAAACCGAGAAAACCGAGUCAAACCGGAAAAACAAAAAAUAAUUUCGGUUCGGACUUUUUUUAAAAAAUUCGAUUUGGUUAUUUUUUUGAUAAAAACCGAAUCGAACCGAAAAUAAUUACCCAUAGCAUAAACCCCUUCAUGCCUUAAAAAAAAAUCAGUCAAAAAAUGAAAAACUAACUUAAACCCAAAAGAUUAAUUUUUUCUCUCAAAUAAAACUUAUGAACAACAAGAUUAAUUUUUUUCAUCAAAAUUAUUUUUAACAAUAACUUCUUCUUUUUUUUUACCAUCAAAACCCACUAACCUUUCUCUCUCCUCUCUCUAACAAAAAAAAAGCCAAUUAACCUUUCUCUCUAUUCUCUCUAACGAGAAAUAGUAAAAUUAAAAAAUUAAAAUUUUAUUCCAAAUUUGAAUUUCUAAAAGCUUUAGGAAUUGAGAAUGUAUGUUUAUAAAAAUAAAAAUACAAACCGCCGUCCAUUUGUGAUUAGAAAAAAUAUUAAAACCCCUAUCACUAUCACACCCUAUCUGAGAGAUAGACUGCUUUGUAAUUUUAAUACGUUAAAAAAUUUUAAAUUUUUUUUAUCUUUCCAUCAAAUAUUAAUCAAAUAUUAGAAAUACAACUUUCUUAAAGUUUUCUAAAACUUUCUUAAAGUCAACAAAUCAAAAUUUUAAAAUUUUUUUCUCUUUCCAUCAAAUAUUAGAAAUAGAACUUUCUUAAAGUUUUCUAAAACUUUCUUAAAGUCAACAAAUCAAAAUAUUAAAUUUUUAUUUUAUCUUUCUCUUUCUGGUUUAUCAAAAAAAAAAUUAAAACCAUCCAUCCAACAAAAAUAAAAAAAAAUCAGACACAUUCACUUUUACUAUGUUUUGCACACACUUUUCCCAUGAUUUACACAUACAACCAUGAUUUACAUGAUUACAAAAUAACUAUAUUCAAAAUAAAUCAAAUACAAUUCAAAAAUUACAAAAUAACAAAAUAGCCCCUAAAAUUCCAGGAACUGCUGGGAAGUCUUCUGAACUCUGCUGGAAUAGUGGCGGCGCGUCUUCUCCAUGAGCGGCCGACACUGGCAGCGAGUGGGUUCACGCGCCAUCGCGAGGGAGUCCAGGCAACAGGUGAUCUGUAACGGUUUGUUCCGCUCUUCCCUUCCCUGCAUGCGGUGAAGAUCACCGUCACCUGCAACAAGAGAAAAUGCAACAGGCAGUCGAGUAAAUUUUCUUUCUUUUUCAGAUCUACUUCUCCCCCCUUACAGAUCUGUUUUUCUGUUCUGAUUUGCUGUUCUUUCCUUCUUUUUCAGGUGUCAGAUCUGGCGGCGACGACGCUGGAUUCGGGUUGUUGCUUUGGCCGCUGCUAUUGCAGGCUGAAUGGAGGGGAUGUCUGGUUCGGUUUAGCAGAGAUGGGGAAAGCUGGAGACGGCGUCUGUGGGGCUGGUCUCCUGUGAGGACAGCGCUGAUAUGGCUGACAGUGAAGGGGGUCGGUGGAGACGGGGAACGGCUCUGCCCGUUUUUGGUCUUGGCGAGCUGGCGGCUGGUUCAGGAGAAAAGGAAAAUGAGGGCUGGUGUGCUUUUCGGUCGGUUGAGAGGAAAACAAAAGGAAGUGAGGGGCUUUCAGGUGGCGGCUGAGAGAAGAAAAUCAAAGUGGUGAGCUGACUGUCUUGUGGCUGAGAGGGGAGGUUACACCGGGUGCAGGGGAAGAAGGCAAAAAUUCAAAAGGAGGGAUUAAAAUUAUAGGUAAAAUGUUUAUAUUUAUAUUUUUUUAUAUAGAUAUUAUAUUUAUAGGUAAAAUGUUGUUUGCUGUUAAAAUUAAUCCCUCAACUUUCUUUUUGCUUUGCAAAUUGAUUUUUUUAUUUAUUUUUAUAUUUUAAGAUUUUAAAAACGAUUAAUAUCAAUGUUGAUUUAAAUAAAAAAAUCAUUAAUUUGAAAAAUAAUAUGUUAAAAAUCUAACACAUUCUAAAGAUAUUUGAAAAUUUAAAAGAAUAUAUAUUAAAAAAUAUAUUUUUUAGAUUUUCAUUAUUUUUUUAUUAUUUUUAAAAAAUUUUAAAUUUUUAUAAAAAGAUAGGUUUGGUAGCAACAUGUCUUUUAUUUUUUUUCUUCUACUCAAGCUGUAACGAAGUCGUUGGAACUCGGUGGCGUAGAUCAAUAUCAAAUUAAAUUUUCCACCAGGGAGUACUGAUUAGUGAUUAACCUUAGCCAUACGCCAAGCAACUAUUUUCACCUCAAAUGCCAAGAUCGUAUUAAUGAACGAGGAAGGAGCAAAAUAAGCAAAACCAUGAGGCCUUGGCAAGUAAUUUUCUCGGUAGAAACAUCCCACAAUAUUCCACAGGUUCAGGAAACUUGGUCCAUACGUAGGAAAACAAACAAAAAAUCUGAAAUUUCGUAACCGAGCAUGAUACAUCGUAUAGGUUACAGUUGAAACUUCUAAAAAGCACUACUAACCCUCCUAAUUAAGAUCUUAGUCUUGCAAAGUAAAUCGCAGCUUCGAGGUUUAGCCUCCCUUAUAAUCUAAACCUUUUAAUUUGUCUUCUAAUUGCCCAUUCUUGACUGCUGAUAUUGCACUGAUUUAGUAACUGGUCUGGAAGGGUUUGAUCGACUUGAGAUCGCCGACAAUUCCAGCAACAGAGCCAGCAGCGGCAGCUAUAGUGAUAAUGAGGCAAGCAACACUUAGGAUCUGCAGGCAGAGCCAUCUUGUGCUCCACUUUGGUAUCUUCUUUUGUACAAUAUACAUCUCCACAGGGAAGUAAACCGUCAAUGGCCAAAAUCCCAAAGCCCCAAGUAAACCAACUAUGUCAUUAAAGAAGGGAAGGAGCAUUGAAAUCACAGUGGUGAGGACCACAAAGAGGGUCCUCCAAAUCAUUCUAAAGAGAUUGAGAUUGUAGGGGCGGAAACCAGGAAUCGGGAUAUUGAUGUCUUUCGUAAUGAAUUCACUAUCUGGAAAUCUUUGAGCUGCUUCUUUUUCGAUGAAAGCAUAGAGAGGUUGGCAGGAGACCUGGUAUGCGCCAACAAGGUGAAUCACUAUGGCAGCAUUGGCAAUAUCAAGAAGCCAGUAUGGGUUAUAAAAGCCAAAUCCAGUAAGGAGGUUUCCAGGGGACAAGUCCCCAAAAGCAGCAUAGCCAAAGCAGCCACAGAACAUGUAGAAAAGGGUUGUGACUACAACACUUAUUAGAGUUGCCUUCUUCAUUGUCUUGGCUUCUGAUGGUGGGGAUUUGAUUGUGUCCUGUUAAUUAUGAUACAAACCUUGUAGGUUAGUUUAAAUUCUAAGAGAAAUUAUCCAGCAUAUCCUAUGUAUAAUGUUAGCAAACGAAAUGAGUAGGCUGCAAAUAUAUAUAUAUAUAUAUAUAAUGUUAGCGCGCACCUGAAUUUCAACGAGGAUCAUGGAGAAAGAAUAGGCAAAAGCAAUGUUACCGAGUGCUUGGAAGCUAAUCCAUAUCUUUUGGGUUUGAGUCACAGUGCCAAUGCUUAUUCCAGUUAGACUUCCACUAAUUUUUCCAUUUUCUAUAACUUUACCAAUGCCAAGACCUAGACCAAUUGAUGCGUAAGUGAAGGACAUGACUGCAGCGACAAGAGAGAGCCAGUGUAACUGAUCAAAUCCAGGAAUUUGAGACAAAAGUAUCUCAGUUAUACCAAACCCUAUCAUAUAUGGAUUGGCAUUCAUACGGCAUGGAUUUUUUCCACCACUCUUGUGAAAACAAUUUGACCUCUUUAUUGCCCUGUAAGUGUAGAAAGGAAGAGGACCGUUAGCCCAAAGAAUUCAUAAUAUAUCUAGGCAUGAUCAGCGAUUACAAGUAAGAACAAAGAAAAAAAUUGAGUUUUUGUUGACUUGAAAGUGAAAGCUUACAUCAUGCUUAUAGAUGAUGCAAUUGUGUAGCCAGUGGCAACUCCAAAAGGAUUCAGGUACAGAACAAAUCCACAUAUCUUGACCUUAACAUCACCUGAGAAAAUUUUAAAAAAAUUUUUAAAAAUAUCAAGCCCAAUAUCUGUAUAUAUUUAGUAGCUUAUAUAUAUAUAUAUAUAUAUAGCUUAUAUAUAUAUAUAUAUAUAUAUAUAUAUAUAUAUAUAUAUAUAUAUAUAUAUAUGUAUAUGGUACGUAGCAGGACUAGUUAGUUACCAAGAUUGGCCCGAACAACAUCCAUGUAGGUGUAGUUUCUCUUGCCGGUAAUAGGAUCACCAGAGCGGUAGCAGGCGGAGAGCAGAGUCGAAGUAUAGUAAGUGAUCCAUCCAAGCUGACCAAUAGCCCAAGCCAAGGAGAGAACUCCAGACCCAAUAACAGCUGUUAUGAUGUGAGCACUUGCAGUCCACACAGUUCCUGUUUAAAGAAACAACAAAAGAAAGACUCAGGAUAAAAAACACGACCCCAUGGCUAAUAUUUUUUCUUCUUCUUUCAGAGUUGUCCAGAAUACUAAAUAAAGAAGAGUAAAGUUACCAGUUCGUUUGGGGCGGCCAUCAUCAUCAAACCACUCGGAGCCACUUCGUGGAUUGGUGUCAAUUGAGACGCUGAAAACCUGGUGAGGGAGUUGGUUCUCUGCGGAUGUGUUCUCACCCAUCUUUGUUAACAAAAGAUACCAAUAAUUGUGUGAGUUAUGCUAUAAAAGAAUCUCUAAUGACUUGAAGUAUACUAGAGUCUGUGCACUGAAUACAGUAACAUGAAAGAAAGUGGAAAGAAGUGUCGAAAGAACGUGACGAGGCUCCCUCCUUGAUCGAUCCAAGUCCGGUUUCAAGUAUGGAAUUAGUCUCAGACCGAAACAGAGACACAAUCACACACCUCCCAAGAAAACCCAAUUUGGUUUAGCGUAUAGUUUUUACUAGUUACAUGCCCCGCGCGAUGCCACGGGUCAAUUAUUUUUUGCAUUUUAAAAAUAGCCAAGAUCCAAAAGUGUUAGGUUUUUUUGCAAAGUUAUACCCAAGAGUCUGAGGUUUGGUUGCAACGCCUGACCCAAGAGUAAUGUUUAUAAUAUUAAUAAUAACAUUAAACUUGGGUUAACCCUUAGCAUAAAAGUGUUUGGACUGCAAUAUCAAACCCAAUAGCAUUGGAUGUGGGUCUGGCUGCAAGGUCGUGUCAUAAAAGUGUGAUAAUUAAAUAGAUUAGUUAAAAAGAAAAAAAACCAACAGGAAGAAAAAAACUAAUGAAAAAAAGAAAAAAAUAUAUGAAUUAAUUGGGUUAACCCUUCAAACCAGGUUAACCCGUCAUACCUUGAAUUCGCAUCGUGAAAGUUUGAUAAUUAAAAAGAAAAAAACAAAUUAAUGGGUUAACCUAGAAUUAACUGGGCUAGCUCGUCAAAUCAGGUUAACCUGUCAAACCCGGAAUCCGUGUAAUGAAAGUUUGAUAACUAAAUAGAAAAAAAUUUAACAUUAACAAUUUAAAUUAAACGAAAAAAAUUAAUUAAAAAAAAAAACAAAAGGCAUCAGCCUUUUCACUGUGAACUGCACUGUGCAGUCCACAGUCAAAGGCAUAAAAAAAAACUAAAGGCAUCAGCCGAGAACUACUUAGAAAAAAAUUUAACAUUAAUAAACUAAAUUAAUUAAAUAAAAUUAAUUAAAAAGAAAAAAUAAAAGAAAGAAAACCUCUAAGAAGAAAAAAAACUAAAUAGAAAGAAAUUUAACAUUAACAAACUAAACUAAACGAAAAAAAUAAUUAAAAAGAAAAAAAAAGCAAAAAUUAAAAUAAAAUUCAGGUUAACUCGUCAAACCAAGUUAACCCGUUAAACCCGGGAUCCGUGUCAUGAAUGUCUGGUAACUAAAUAAAAAAAAGUGAACAUUAACAAACUGAACUAAAAUAAAAAAAUUAAUUAAAAAGAAAAAAAAAUCUGGAUUAACUCGUCAAACCAUAUUAACCUGUUAAACCCAAUAUUUGUGUCAUGAAAGUCUGAUAACUAAAUAAAAAAAAAUUUAACAUUAACAAACUAAAUUAAACAAAACUAUUUAUGAAAAUAAUAAAAAAAAAUUGACGGGUCAACCCGGAAUUAACUGGGUUCACUCGUGAAACCAGGUUAACCCGUGAAACUCGGGAUAUGUGUCAUGAAAGUCUAAUAACUAAAUAGAAAGAAAUUUAACAUUAACAAACUAAACUAAACGAAAAAAAUUAAUUAAAAAAAAACAAAGAAAGAAGCAAAAAAAAAUCCCAAAAAGCAUAAAAAAAACAGCUAAAAAAACUUAGACAACUUAAAAAAAAAAACAAAAACAAAAAAAAACACCUAAGGAAUCAAUGUUUUACUGUGGACUGCACUGACACUGAUUCCUUUUAGCUAUUUAUGAAAAUUUGAUAACUGAAUAGGAAAAAAAAAUUACGGGUUAACCCAGAAUUAGCUGGGUUAACCCGUCAAACCCGGAAUCCAUGUCAUGAAAGUUUGAUAACUAAAUAGAAAAAAUUUAACAUUAACAAACUAAAUUAAACGAAAAAAUUAAUUAAAAAGAAAAACCAGAAAAAAAUCCGGGUUAACCCAUCAAACCCGGAACCCGUGUCAUGAAAGUUUGAUAACUAAAUAGAAAAAAAUUUAACAUUAACAAAAAAAAAUUCAUUAAAAAAAACAAAGAAAAAAACAGCUUAAAAAAAACAAAAACAAAAAAAAACAGCUCAGCGUUUCACUUUAGACUGCACUCGAAAAAAUAAUUAAUUAAAAGGUAAACCAGAAAAAAAGUUUGGGUUAACCCGUCAAACCCGGAACCCGUGUCAUGAAAGUUUGAUAACUAAAUAUAAAAAAAUUUAACAUUAAAAAAAAAUUUAACAAAAAAAAUCAUUAAAAAAAUAAAAAAAACAGCUUAAAAAAAUAAAACAAAACAACUUAAAAAAAAGUAAAAAAGCAAAAAAAAAAAAAAGAGAAAGCAGCUGCUCAGCGUUUCACUGUAGACUUGCACAGUGAAAUACUGAUCAGUUUUAGUAUAUUUUACAAUUUACAAUAGGUGCUUCGAGAGGGAGAGACAAAGAGAGUGUGCUAUGUAUCAGACAGAGGAACUGCUCUUAUUAGCUAGAGAAAUUAGCGAGUUGAUUUCAGGGAUACAAUGGAAGGCAUGGAAUGGUGGGUAUUUAUAAGAGGCACGAGGCAGCCCAGGAAAAAAAAACAUAAAUAUUGCAGAGGCACGUGGUUUCGAAAUAUUGGGAUACUUGUAAUUUUUAUUUUAUUGUUGCCUUCUGGAUUUCAAUCAAGCUCCAUCCAUUCACUGUAGUUAGAUAAAGACAGUUAAAGCAGUUGGGCUGGGCAAUGAAAAUAUUGAAAAUAUUCUUGAACCGCUUGGGAUUUGAGUGUGAUAUUAGAUUAUUUUAACGCAUGAAUCAAGGAAUUACGUUUUUGUCUCGUGUUAUUUUACAAGGGUGUUUCUUGUCCCCUUCCGGAAACAUUCUUUUUUUUUUUUUUUUGUAAAGCUGCAAUCAAAAGAGUUACUGUGCCACUUUUGUGUUUAAAAGAGAGAUUCCUUACUUUAGCCACUAUCACCAUUGCGUGCCAGCACCGGGCAUGGCUUUGGUUGCAAAUUAUAUAUAAUAUCUACUUAAUUUAUAUGGGGUGACUGUGUGAGGAUCUUAAUGUAGUUGAAACAAAUAAUGUUAUGAUGUGAGCACUUGCAGUCCAUACGGUCCCUGGAAACAAUUGAAGUUGAACAGAAUAUAUAUAAGUUGAACAGAAUAUAUAUUUUCUUGGAAAUCUUACUUAAUCAUAGCAAAUGGACAAAUAUAAUGUAAAGAAGUUGUGAAAUACCAGUUCGCUUUAGACGGCCAUCGUCAUCAAACCACCUGGAGCCACCUUGUUGAUGCGUGUCAAUGGAGAUAUCGAAAACUUGGCGAUUCCUUAGGCUCGUGUUCAUAUUUAUGAUAUAACAGAGAGGUAGCAGUGGCAGUAGGUGAAGGUUGGAAUUGAGUUGUGUUGGUGUACGAGAGACAGAGAGAAACAAGGACAGUACUCUCAACUUUUAGUAAUUAACUAGUUGCUAUGCGCGCGCAUGUUGUCACGGGUUUAUGAUAUAUUUGUGCAUUGUCAAAAAUUUAUAAAAACAAUUUAUAACAAAAAAAAUAAUAUGAAAAAAUACUUUAACAAUCAACGAUGUUUUAAAAAAAAAUUAUAAAGCUAAAUUUUUAACCAGUUCAAUAUGAAAAAAAAAAAAUUCAACAAAGAAAAUUUUAAAAAAAAAUCAAUAAAAAAAAAUGUGGAAACACUGUAGCAAGAAAAAAUCAUGUGGGGAAAUAUUGUAUCAAUCCACAAUGUUUUUUUUCAAGAAAAAAACUAUAAAGCUAAAUUAUCAACCAGCUCAAUAUGAAAAAAAAAAAAACUAAAACUGACAAAGACAAUUCUGAAAAAAAAACAAAAAAAAUAAAAAAGCCAUAUGGAAAAACACUGUAGCAAUCAACAGUGUUUUAAAGAAAAAACUACAAAACUAAAUUUUCAACCAGCUCAAUAUUAAAAAAAUAAAAUCGACAAAAAUAAUUUUGAAAAAAACACAAAAAAAACAAAAAAUAAAGAAGACAAUUUUGGGAAAAAACAUAAAAGCAAAAAUAAAAAUAAAAAAAUAAAGAAAAAACAUGUGGAGAAAGCUAAAGUUAAAUUCUCAACCAGCUCAAUAUUAAAAAAAAAUCAACAAAGAUAAUUUUGAAAAAAACAAACAUAUGAAGAAAUAGUGUACCAAAACAAAAACCAUAUGGGAGGAAUAAUAUAGUAAUCUAUAAUGUUUUUUUUAUAAAAAAAACUACAAAACUAAAUUCUCAACCAGCUCAAUAUGAAAAAAAAACCAAAAAGAACUAUUUUGGAAAAAAAAUCAUAAAAAAAAGAAAAAAAUAUUAGAUAGGUGGUUGGAAAUUUGAUUUUGGGAUUUUUUUGGAUCCAAAAAAUCUUUUUUCAAUCUAUUUUCACUUAAAAACACCUAAUAAAUAUUAUUACUAUGUCAAUAAAUCAAUCUCUCAACUCAAAAAUCAAUAAAUUAGUCCAAAAAACAAAAUGAAAAAAAAAACUUUCUCAAUCUACCUUUUCAAACAAGUUGAAGACUUAAAAACAUCUCAACGACCUUUAUACAUGGAAAUAUUGUAGCAAUCUAUAAUAUAUUUUUUUAAAUAAUAAAAUUAAAUCCUCAACCAGUUCAAUAUUAAAAAAAAAUCAGCAAAAAUAAUUUUUAAAAAAAUAUACAAUUUAAUUUUAAAAAAAACAUACAAUUUUUUUUUAAAAAAAGUCAAUCUUGAGAAAAGAAAAAAAAACCAUAUAAAAAAAAACUAAAAAUAUUAAUAUAAUAAAAAUAAAAGGCGUGGGUAUUGUUAAUUAAAAAGGCUAGAGUGGAUAGUGGAAUGCAAUGGAAUGCAAGAGGAUUAGUCAGACUGGUGGUAAAAACAAGGACACGUGUUUUAAACACGUUAUGUAUUUUUUUAUUUUUCAUGUGGGGAAAAUAUGAAAUUAGUUCCCGAACUAUAACUUCUAUCUCAAUUGAGUCCUCAUUAAUUUGGUUUCUCAUUUUGAUUUAAUCACCUAACCCAUAUGCUAAGUUAAUUCUUAAGAUUUUAAAUAUCAGAAAUAUGUAUUGAUGUGUGAGGAAAUAUCAUUUCCACACAAACCAUGCAUGUGGCCUUGGUAAGAAAUAAAUGCUUGAUGGUGAGAUUUCACUCUGGAUCAAAUAUUAAUAUGAAAGUUGAAUAAAUGUUUCGUAUGAGUACUUCAUUAUAACAAAAAUCUUAAUUUUUUUAAAUGUGCAAGCUACAUCAUAUAGAUCAUAUAGAUUGAGUUAUUUUCCAAACUUUCUUGUGUUUGUUUGUCAUUAGAAAAAUUGAUCAACCAAAAACACUUUCCAGUUAAAGGAAAAUUUAGUUCGAUUUCCAGAAAAGUAUUUUCCUUUUAUUUUGGAUGGAAAAUACUUUCCGGACGUUGUGAAAAAUUUAAAAAUAUUAUAUUAUUUGCUGAUUAUAUCAAAUUUGGUCCUUAAACUUUUUAUUGCUAUAUACAUUUUGUUUUGAAUUUUUUUUUCAAUUUUAUCCCUUAUAAUUUCAUUUUUAUAUUAACUUUGAUUCUCAUUUUUAUAAUUGUUUUUUGCUUUUCUCUUAUCAUUUUUUAAUUGUAAUUUUUUAUCUAUCAAAUUUGAUCAUCAUUCUUUUGAUUGUUACUUAUUUUAUUUGAAAUAAUUUAUGAAAUGAUAAUUAUUAUUAUUUUAAUUUCUUCAUCUUUCAAUUUUUUUAUUUGUUAGAUUUGAUCUCUGUUAUUUUGAUUAUUAUUUAUUUUAUUUGAGAUAAUUUCUGAAAUUUUUUUUUCAAUUUCAUUCCCAUUCAACUUUUUAAUUUGUAAUAUUUGUUCCUUAUUAUUUUAAUAAACUUGAAAAAAAUAAAACAUUAAUAAGCUAUUUCCCAGCUCAUUUUCCAUGACAUAACCAAACACUGGAAAAUGUUUUUCAACUUAUUUUCCAUUACACUACCAAACAUCAAAAAAUAAUUCACUUUCCCGGAAUUCACUUAAAAAAAAAUACUUUAUAGCAAACAAACGGGUUCAAGCCUCUUAAGAUAUUGUUCUUACCCAAUAUUAUCAAAAAUACGUUUUGAUUUGUAAAAUCGUACAAUUUUAUGAGUCAAAAUAUAUAAAAAUAUAUAAAAUUAGAUUAAAAACUCGAAAACAAGUAAAAUCUAUCAAAUUCGUGUAAAAUCAAUCCAACUGUUAAAACCGGAUCGAUUUCACAAUUUCAUUGUAAGAAUUAAAGAAAUUGCUCAGUGCUCACUGCUGAGUCAGCACCACCCUUUUCCCAUGAGUCCCCACUCCACCGCCUAUUAGCUAGAGAAGAGAGCAAGUUGAUUUCAGGGAUACAAUGGAAGGCAUGGAAUGGUAGGUAUUUAUAAGAUAAUGUUUGUUUAAGAAAUUGCGUAUGUGUUUUACUUAAAAUAUAGAUACAACCUAAAGAAAAAAACAUACUUCACUGUUAAUGGAUCCCUUUCAUCCGAAAUGCAGGGGAAAGGAAAGCAAGCAAUUGCCGCUUCUUGUGCGCACUGUUCAUAGAAUUAAUUAUCAUGCUAUGCUAUACUAUUCAGUGAAGUGAACAGUAGCUACACUCAUUGUAAAGUGUUGCGGAACUAAAGGUGGUGGAAAAAUAAAGAAGGGACGGACCGAUGCAGCAAACUACGAAGAAAUGCGAGGCUUAAAGGUUUUUCGGAGACAGAGAAAGAGAGAGAAAGGGGUGAUGUGCUAUGUAUUUAUUGACUAACUCAAUCUUGUUGAGGAAGUUUCAACCAGAGAGAGAAAGGCAGAUUCUUCUUGUGCACACUGCCGGGCUUUACUUUUUUGCGACCAAACUACCACUACAUACACCGCUAAAUACCGCUGUAGCUGAUAAUUAUUUUUAAAAUUAGGCAAAUAUAACACUAUGUACAGUGUCAUCAUUUAGAUUUAAAUGCGUGCUUGAUUAGUGAUGGAGAAUGUAUUUUUUAUUUUUUUAUUUUUUGAGUUCUUUUGAGACUGAUAUCUGAAAAAAAAUUAAUUUUUUUAAACGCAUUAUAUUAAUAUAAGAAUUUUAAAAAAAUUGUUUAGAAAUGGGAUUUAGUCUCCGUUGAUGUUUAAAUUGACUCUAAUAUAUUUUUUAUUAUCAAAUUAGAAAAUACAUAAUAGAAGGUAUAUGUUUGGUAAUACAUUUUUUAAAAGGUUUUUUUGUUUUAAAAAAUAUUAAAUUGAUAAUUUUUUAUGAUUUUGAUAUUCUUGUAUAAAAAAUAUUUAAAAACAUUUAUUUAUUUAUUUAUUAUUAUUAUUUUACAAAAAUCCCUUAAAAAAACACCUUAAUCACAAUGUCAGAUAAUGCUUAAGAUUACCGAUACAAAAAAGGCUUCUACUAGUAUGAGGCCUGAGAGGUUUGGAGUGCCACUGGUUAAUUAAAACCCAAAGUGUACGAUGUUAACAAUAAGACCCAAAAAAAGCAUUUUCAGAGACGUGGUUUAAAAUGCCUAAUCAAGCACAAAAAUGAUUCCAUUGAAUCCAAAGUACAAAAGAACAACAUUUGCAAUCAGGUUCAAGAAAUGACAAAGCAUGUGCAUCUAGAUUUCUCAAAGAUUGAAGAAUUCUUCCUCACAGACUUGCAAAAUGGUUUUCAACUGACAAGUAUUCUCUCGUUAACUUCUCAGUUAUCAAAACACGUCCAUGGAACCAUUGGCAAACAUCGCUAUUUGAUUAUACUGACAAUUUUCCGACUGGUUGCAAUAAAUGUUGCGAUCAAUUCAGCAAGUGAACAUCCUGGUACCAUUCAUUACUCAAUUCAAUGACACUGUUAUAUUCGUCCAAUAAUGCUAAUCAUAUGGCAAACGAUUUUCUGUUUGCUAACACAUGUGAAAGUUCAAUAUUCUUCAAUAAUAUGUAUUGGAUCUAGCAACUGAAGUGCAGAUGUCAUGAUAUUUAGGGACCAAACUUCUCUAGUUCCUUCAUGAACAUGAACCUAACACUAUCGCUAAGAAAAUACAAGCCUCAACUAACAAUUCUUUCUGGUCAAACACAGCCUUCACAGAGCUUCCAUAAAUAUGGCCCCAUUAAAGGAUGGGAUAGAACGCUCCCUUGUUGAUGAAAAGGGUACAGAAACACCCCCAGCUUAACAAAGCAACAAGCUGGAUAAAUUGUCUGAUUAAAGGGAGAUAUAGCGGAAGUAUAAUUCAGAAAGUUGUAAGUCUUUUGUAGAUGAGUUAGUGGCCAUCAAAUUUGGAUCCCCAGCACCCAAUGGUAACAAGAACAUAUCAUGUCAAUGGUAGUUACAAAACUGUUUUUCAAAGGAAAACUACUCAGAAUAGCCCUGUCAACCAAUAAAGUACCUUCUACAAGAAUCUGACUUCAAACAACGCCACGCCUGCCUAUCUUGCUGCAAUGAUGUUUCAUAAGAAAAUCAGGUUGGCUGGCUAAUCGAGUACAACUCCGGAUUUUGCAUUUACAAAUUACAAUGCAAGAGUGAUGUUACCCAUUCAGUGAAUGAGCUCAUACAUAGCAGAGGGUGACUACCUAUAUGUUUUUGACAAGGAUUGCACUCAUGGUUUCUUUUUACAUGAAUCUCGCACUUCUUACAGGCAAUUAAAUAUGAUCUGGAGUGAACAAUCGGACUAUAAUCUACAUAGAAACAUAAUGAGGAAUCCUCGGCAACCUAAGGAGUACUUCAAACCUACUUCAGAGGACCGAAAUGACUUGCUGCGAUGAAAAGUAGAUUUCAUCUUUGACAGAAAUCACUUUCUCAAAAUGAUGGAACAAACUAUGUAUUUUGAGAAAACACUUAAGUGUAAUUUACAUCACUGCAGACUUGAAAAGAAGGAAUUAAAAGCGCACCUUUCAGACUAUGGAAAGAAUCUCUACAGAAACAAUCAAGUCUUCUCACUCCAGCUAAACUAGCCAGAUAAAUUGUGGAAAUACGCAAACAGCAAGCUGACAAGAAAUGUCAUCUAUACAAUAUAGAUGGACAUAUAUUCCCAGAAAAAGGAUGGAAUUUUUCACCUGGAGAACCUCGCACAAUAACUAAAGUAUUUUAAAAGGUAGAGUGAGCGAGAUACAAAAAUAUACCUUCAAUGCUUAUUGAGGAAUAAAACUAGAUUCUUUUUUUUCUCUCUUAACCGAUCAGGAAGGUAAAAAUGAGAGAACCCAGAUUUAUAAAACGUGUCCCUGGAUUCUACUUGUCCCAUAGGAUGCCUAAAGUUGAUCAAGCAAUAAAGAAAUGGGAGGUGCAAAUACGUUCAUCUUUCCCAUUUCAAGUAGCAGUGCCUGAUCACUUGUGCAAUUAUGACAGAUAAUUGAACUUUGUUAAGCAACACAUUGAUUGUAUUUUAAGGAAAUGAAAAGUAAUUAUUAUAUCGACAUACCAUUUAAAUGCCACUGUAGAAGGCAAGCAAACUAAACCAACCCCUAGCGAAAAUUAUCACAUGAUACCAAAGCAUAGAUGUUCAAGGGAUGAUGUUAAAAAUGAUAAACCUUUUCAAUGAUGAUACGAUCGCCAACACGAAGAGUCGGGUACAUGGAGGACGACGGGAUGAAGCGAAGCUCUGAAAAAGUAGACCACAAAAGCACCAGAACAAGAAGCCUUAACAACCCAUCAAGACCAGGUCAUCGAAGAAACCCCCAGCUCUAGCAUGGCAUCCAUUUUAGUACUGUGGCGGAUGUUAUAAAGAAAUUAUUCAAUGCAGAUGGCCUCAAGAAACUCAUUGUAAAGUGUUGCGGAACUAAAGGUGAUGGAAAAAUCAAAAGGACGGACCGAUGCAGCAAACUACGAAGAAAAUGCGAGGCUUAAAGGUUUCGGAGACAGAGAAAGAGAGGAAAAGGGGUGAUGUGCUAUGUAUUUAUUGACUAACUCAAUCUUGUUGAGGAAGUUUCAACCAGAGAGAGAGAGGCAGAUUCUUCUUGUUCACACUGCCGGGCCUUACUUUUUUGCGACCAAACUACCACUAGAACGCGUACAUACACCGCUAAAUAC
rnacentral:lncRNA from 1 species